rnacentral:rRNA from 1 species
GAAACUGCGAAUGGCUCAUUAUAUCAGUUAUAGUUUAUUUGGCGAUAAAAACUACUUGGAUAACCGUAGUAAUUCUAGUGCUAAUACAUGCUUUAAGCCCCGACUUCUGGAAGGGGUGUAUUUAUUAGAUAAAAAACCAAUCGUAGCAAUACGUUUACAGGUGAAUCAUGAUAACUAUUCGAAUCGCAUAGCUUUGCUGGCGAUGGUUCAUUCAAAUUUCUGCCCUAUCACCUUUCGAUGGUAGUAUAGAGGACUACCAUGGGUAUAACGGGUAACGGAGAAUUAGGGUUCGAUUCCGGAGAGGGAGCCUGAGAAACGGCUACCACAUCCAAGGAAGGCAGCAGGCGCGCAAAUUACCCAAUCCCGAUACGGGGAGGUAGUGACAAUAAAUAACAAUACAGAGCUUUUUAAGUUUUGUAAUUGUAAUGAGAACAAUUUAAACCUCUUAACGAGAACCAAUUGGAGGGCAAGUCUGGUGCCAGCAGCCGCGGUAAUUCCAGCUCCAAUAGCGUAUAUUAAAGUUGUUGCAGUUAAAAAGCUCGUAGUUGAACUUUGGCCUCGGCUGGGAGGUCUACUCGAAUGGGUAGUACUUCUUUGGCUGAGGCUUUCCUUCUGGCGAGCUAUUGUGCUAUUUGUUUAGUGCGAUAGGGAACCAGGACUUUUACUUUGAAAAAAUUAGAGUGUUUAAAGCAGGCUUACGCUUGAAUACAUUAGCAUGGAAUAAUAAAAUAGGACUUUGGUUUUAUUUUGUUGGUUUUCGAAACCAAAGUAAUGAUUAAUAGGGAUAGUUGGGGGCAUUCGUAUUUAGCCGUCAGAGGUGAAAUUCUUGGAUUGGCUAAAGACGAACUUCUGCGAAAGCAUUUGCCAAGGAUGUUUUCAUUAAUCAAGAACGAAAGUUAGGGGAUCGAAGACGAUCAGAUACCGUCGUAGUCUUAACCAUAAACUAUGCCGACUAGGGAUCGGACAAUGUUCAAUUAUGACUUGUUCGGCACCUUAUGAGAAAUCAAAGUUUUUAGGUUCCGGGGGGAGUAUGGUCGCAAGGCUGAAACUUAAAGGAAUUGACGGAAA